GUGGAGGAGGACGCCGAAGGUGGGGCUAAUGACUGGGGUGAAGUCGUAACAAGGUAGCCGUACCGGAAGGUGCGGCUGGAUCACCUCCUAACAGGGAGACAACAAAAUGUUUAAUAUUAUUAUUUUGUCACCUUAGGUCGAUCGGUAUCUCACAUUCUUAAUUCAUUAAGGAUUUCAUUUCCUAAGUUUUUUCUAGGUCACACCCAUUUUCCCUGGGCCAUUAGCUCAGGUGGUUAGAGCGCACCCCUGAUAAGGGUGAGGUCCCUGGUUCAAGUCCAGGAUGGCCCAUCUCUCUAUGUUGGGGGUAUAGCUCAGUUGGUAGAGCGCCUGCUUUGCAAGCAGGAUGUCAGCGGUUCGAGUCCGCUUACCUCCACUGAUUACCACCUCUUCCAUAGUUAAUAGAAUUAGGGGAUUAUUUGAGUGGAGAUCAAAUUCUGAACGAAUCUAGCUUCCUAAUGUAACUAUUAAGAUGCUGGACUCAUUGAAUUAAUUUCAUUGUUUUCAGAGAACCUUGACAACUGCAUAGAUUAUUUUUAAAGACAAUAAGCAUCUUUAAUGAUGCAGAUUUAUUAUUUGUGCGAAUGCAUUAAUAACAAUUCUAUUAAGCUGAUGCUUCAAUUUUUGAAGUUAUUGGUCAAGCUACAAAGGGCUCACGGAGGAUACCUAGGCACACAGAGGCGA
rnacentral:misc_RNA from 1 species